AUUGAACGCUGGCGGCAGGCCUAACACAUGCAAGUCGAACGAGUGGCGGACGGGUGAGUAAUGUCUGGGAAACUGCCUGAUGGAGGGGGAUAACAACUGGAAACGGUAGCUAAUACCGCAUACCAUCGGAUGUGCCCAGGUGGGAUUAGCGAGUAGGUGGGGUAAUGGAUCACCUAGGCGACGAUCCCUAGCUGGUCUGAGAGGCUGACCGGCCACACUGGAACUGAGACACGGUCCAGACUCCUACGGGAGGCAGCAGUGGGGAAUAUUGCACAAUGGGCGCAAGCCUGAUGCAGCCAUGCCGCGUGUAUGAAGAAGGCCUUCGGGUUGUAAAGUACUUUCAGCGGGGAGGCGUUACCCACAGAAGAAGCACCGGCUAACUCCGUGCCAGCAGCCGCGGUAAUAC
rnacentral:rRNA from 1 species